AGUCGACGAGGACGGAACAGGCAGCCGUCGCACCCUAGCGGUUUUAAAGAGAUGUGGGCGGGUCAUCCCACCGGGGCU
rnacentral:ncRNA from 1 species